rnacentral:tRNA from 1 species
GGAGAGAUGGCUGAGUGGUUGAUAGCGCCGGUCUUGAAAACCAGUGUAGUUACGAAAACUAUCGAGGGUUCGAAUCCCUCUCUCUCCU